ensembl:lncRNA
GAGCGCAAGGUCAUUUAUCGCGUUCUACGCGUAAUGAAUAGGACGCAGCCGUUUAUGCCGCUUAUCUUAAAAAUAAUAAUAAACAGUCUACAUAUAGCCUAUGGUAAAAAAAAACAUUCACUGAUGCUCAACAGUGUGUGCAGCCUAUACCUUAUGGUUCAGGGUGAAUAUAUCCAAUCAUCAAAUCAAAUUCAAGCAGUCCAGACUGGUGAAGGGGCGAGGCGAUAAGGUGGUCCAGACUCCAGUCGAGGGAGGAGCAACAGCUAUCCAUGCAUCACACUCCGAGGAACCUGUUAGAAAACUGACAGACCUGAUCAACACUCCCACACAGCUGCACAAAUUGCCCACAAACCAGUCAGCAGAUGGGCUGGCUUGUGUGAGACCCACAUAACUGACAGAAAAGAUUACAAUCUUAACAAACAAAUGUGCCUGAAAGUAAACACUGCCCAGACUAGCUAGCAUCUCAUGUGGCCCACCGUAGAAUGGUCUUCAUUGCUAUUUGCAGCUAUUUUACUAUUAUUUGCCUGUUAUUACAUUUAAUUUAGAAGAAUAUAGGACUGUGUCAUAUAUUUGUACUCUAACAAAAGUGAGCCUAGCCGGUGCUAGUUUACCAAGAACACCUAAUUUAAUUACAAAGAGAUCCAAUUUCCUGAGCACAAUAGUGGCAUCAUCAUUUCCUUCCCUGCCUUAUAAUUUCAUAUUUUAUGAUAACAAUAUAAGACAAAUAAUAGAACACUUGCAUUGGAACAACUAUUUUUUUUCAAACGUAAAGUUAAAACGAUUGACUGACUAUAUAAUUAAAAACGUAUUGAUUGUAGCCCAUAGCUGACAUUAAAACUCAGUGGGCCAGUAAAUUUAGUCAAAGAAUGCUCAGGUAUGUAUCGCCACCAUGUGGCUACCUUGUGAAGUUACGCCUUCAUGUAGCGAUCGCCGCAUCUUAAUGACCCGAUAUUCCACAAGAAACACAUGAACAUGGCCCAUAAAGAGAAAACCCCUAUGCGCGUUUGGCGUCAGACCAUUUCAUUAAUUUAUUGCUAUAUUCCGAAACGCCAAGUGUAGCCUAUAGACUUUCCAUGUAUGAUAAUAAAUAACGUAAAGAUCAAUAUCAACUGUCCCGUUUUCAUCGCAUUGGUCAAAUCUAGUCUACGUCGUGCGCGCUUUUAGUCUAUCCUGAUUACUCCAGCUGCUCCACUUCGUAUUCCGUUUCUGUUCGCGUGCGGUGUAUACUUGGUGUCAAUGUAACCUACUGUAGGUAGAGGAAAAAUCGCCAUUGUAACGUUAUUCAUUUUUUCUCGACUGGAACUAGUACAACGAUACUGCUUUGUUAUGGUUUUUGGAUUUGCCUAAAUUUCAUAUUUAGAUAGGGUGGUUUUAAGGACUACAGAGAUUGUAACAUAUGAAAUAAGACAGACGCAAAGAGGAUGUGGCCCAGAAACCAGGUCGAUGAAAUAUUGGCGCUAUCAUGAGAGGAAAUGGUAUGGACCUUUUAUGGAGAAUCUUAGCGGCUCUGAGCUUCGAUUGUUUUAAGGAUUCGGCGUCUUCACAGAGGUGAGUGUGAGAAAAUCUAAUUUUUCCCAAUGACCAUAAUUGUUUGUAUGAUAUCCCACAGUUUGUUAUGCCAUUAUAUAUUACAAAUGAACAAAAAUGUAAAGGCAACAUGCAACAAUUUCAAAGAUUUUACCGAGUUACAGUUCAUAUAAGGAUAUCAUUCAAUUUAAAUAAAUUAUUUAGGCCCUAAUCUAUGGAUUUCAUGACUGGGAAUACAGAUAUGCUUCUGUUGUGCACAGAUGCCUUAAAAAAAAGGUAGGGGCAUGAAUCAGAACCAGUCAGUAUCUAGUGUGACCAUCCAUUUUCCAGUGCCUCAUGCAGCACAAGACAUCUCCUUCGCAUAACGGUGAUCAGGCUGUUGAUUGUGGUCUGUGGAAUGUUGUCCCACUCCUCUUCAAUGGCUGUGUGAAGUUGCUGGAUAUUGGUGGGAACUGGAACACUCUGUCAUACAUGUCGAUCCAGAGCAUCCCACACAUGCUCAAUGGGUGUCAUGUUUGGUGAGUAUGCAGGCCAUGGAAGAACUGGGACAUCUUCAGCUUCCAAGAAUUGUGUACAGACCCUUGCAACAUGUGGCCAUGCAUUAUCAUGGUGAAACAUGAGGGGAUGGUGGCAGAUUAAUGGUACGACAAUGGGCCUCAGGAUCUAGUCACGGUAUCUCUGUGUAUUCAAAUUGCCAUUGAUCAAAUGCAAUUGCGUUUGUUGUCCCGUAGCUUAUGCCUGCCCAUACCAUAACCCUACCGCCACCAUGGGGCACUCUGUUCCCAACAUUGACAUCAGCAAACCGAUCACCCACAAACGCCAUACACGCUGUCUGCCAUCUGUCCGGUACACUUGAAACCGGGAUUAAUCCGUGAAGAACACACUUCUCCAGUGGCCAUCGAAAGGUGUGAAUUUGCCCGCUAAAGUCACUUACAAUGUCGAACUGCAGUCAGAUCAAGACCCUGGUGAGCACGACGAGCAUGUAGAUGAGCUUCCCUGAGAAGGUUUCUAACAGUUUGUGGAUAAAUUCUUCAGUUGUGCAAACCCAUAGUUUUAUCAGCUUUCUGGGUGGCGUGUCUCAAACAAUCCCGCAGGUGAAUAAGCCGCAUGUGGAGGUCCUGGACUGGCGUGGUUGUGAGGCCAGUUGGACUAAAUUCCCUAAAAUGACGUUGGAUGCGGCUUAUGGUAGAGAAAUUAACAUUCAGUUCUCUGGAAACAGCUCUGGUGGACAUUCCUGCAGUAAGCAUGCCAGUUGCAUGCUCCCUCAACUUGAGACAUCUGUGGCAUUGAGUUGUGACAAAACUGCACAUUUUAGUGGCCUUUUGUCCCCAGCACAAGGUGCACCUGUGUAAUGAUCAUGCUGUUUAAUCCGCUCCUUGAUUAUGCCACACCUGUCAGGUGGAUGGAUUAUCUUGGCAAAUGAUAAAUGCUCACUAACAGGGAUCUAAACAAAUUUGCGCCAGAAUUUGAGAGAAAUGAGCUUUUUGUGCAUAUGGAAUAUUUCUGGGAUCUUUUAUUUCAGCUCAUGAAACAUGGGACCAACACGUUACAUGUUGUGCUUUAUAUUUUUUCGGUAUAUUAUGGAGUCAGAGCCGAAGUGUCAAUAUCACAGUAAGUAAUAUUUCAUUUCCGUUUUAAGACUAGAUUAAUAGCAUAUGGAUCAUCUAUUUGAUCCCCCCCUCUAUAAGAGUGUGUGAAUUGUAACAAUAUAUUUGCUAUGAAGAAAAAAUCCAUCCUUUAGUUGUUAUGACAAAAGGUUUGUGAAGCAAAAAGGUUUACCUCCAUUCUCCAGCAUUGUCUUCAUGAGACACAUUAUGAAAGGUAUGAAAUAAUGUGUUACAUGACCACAAAUGUAGCCAGAAAUGCAUCUGACUUUGUUGGAAACCCUUUGUUAAACCAAAACAUAUCAUACAGUGUAUAUCAUACUGAAAAUGCAAUGACAUCUGCAUGUAUGAUAUGUGUUUUCUAUUCAGGAUUGCUGAAUGAUAGUUUCUAUACUUAUAUGAUCCUAUUACAUACCAUUUUGCCCCACAGCAUUUGUUUGGGAUAAAUUCAUUUUAGAAGAUUCAGAGUACUACACUGUAUAGUCUUUACCAUUGCACUUCAGCAAACACCUUGUCACGCCUACUUCUGCUCCCUCCCUCGGGCACUCAACGUCAACGGUCUACUAACUACCAGUCCUGGCAACCCACAUUGCGUAAACCUGGCAACCAUCAUGGCGCACACCUGCUCCCCAUUGUUAAGCACACCUGGACUUCAUCACCACCCUGAUUACUUUCCCUUCAUAUAGCCCUCAGUAAUCCUCAGUCAUCAGGCAGUAUUGGGUUUUGGUCACGUUCAGUACGCGUAUCCUGUUUUGUAUUUUCUUCAUGUUUAUCAUUAUUAAACUCACCUUCUGCGCCUGCUCCCUGACUCCCUGUGUAUACAUUACACAUCUCUUACCCAGAGUCCAACCCCUAACUUCUCAUCCCCUCUGUAGGUCUCCAGGCAAGCUGAGCUCCAGCCAGGCAGGUAGUCUGGAAAGCAGCUCCCUGACUGGCUCUCUCUCCUUGGGGCCAGACCUGCCUCACUGCCAGUGCUGCAUCUCCUACGAAGCCCGUCUGAAACGCCUGUCCUGUGGCCACCUCUACUGUGACCCCUGCACAGACCAGAUCGUCAACCUGGCCUUUGAGGACAUCGAGGGACUCUCUGAUUACCCCUGCCCCAUGUGCAAGUCCCUCCGCCAGCUUGGGGACCUGGGCCCCCCCUCUUAUGGGUACCUGGGUACCCCCUCUUUUGGGCCAUGUGGGACCCUGCAGUAGCAGGUGGCUAAAGAGCAUGGGAGCAGCUGGGGGUAAAACUGAGGCAGUUUAUACUGUACAUCAAGGGGUGUGGUUAAAAAACAAAUGCAUGUUGUCCCCUCUCCAGAUGAAAUACUGUAGGAACCAUUUAGACUUUUCAGUUAUGUCUUUAGUGUUUUGAUUUGAAUAUUUGAAUGCACUGCCUUACACUGAGAUUGUGAUCUGGUAUUGUGUGAUGGAUAGUGGCUCAGUGUUUCUUCUUUGUGUAAUAUGGUGGUGGAAGUGAAACUAAUGGAAGUGCAUAACAUUACAGAUAAUGUCCAUUGGUGUGCCAUGACAUACUGUAAAUUGAUAUUACAGGGUGAUUAAGCCAGAGCUAAGUAUUAGAUGUUUGUGUCAGACAGUUCUUUACAUUUAUGUGUACUGCUUAUUAUUAGUAGACAUUUGGACCUUACUUAAAAAAUAUGAUAUUUUGAGUAUACUUACUGCUUAUGCAUUUUAAUUUAACUUAAUUGUACAGUGCCAUGCUACUUUUAAAGUGUUCAAUAUCAUAUUGUAAAUAUAUAUUUUGCUAAAAAAAUAAAGUUUGUGAAUUGUA